UUUCUGUAGUUGAGAGUCAACGACGGUUUUUCAGACCGUAGACCUUGGGUAAUGUCCAAGCAGAAAUU
rnacentral:tRNA from 1 species